rnacentral:tRNA from 1 species
GGUGUUUUGAACACCAAGAACUGCUAAUUCUUACUACUGAAGU